AUACAUGCAAGUAGAACGCUGAAGAGAGGAGCUUGCUCUUCUUGGAUGAGUUGCGAACGGGUGAGUAACGCGUAGGUAACCUGCCUUGUAGCGGGGGAUAACUAUUGGAAACGAUAGCUAAUACCGCAUAACAAUGGAUGACACAUGUCAUUUAUUUGAAAGGGGCAAUUGCUCCACUACAAGAUGGACCUGCGUUGUAUUAGCUAGUAGGUGAGGUAACGGCUCACCUAGGCGACGAUACAUAGCCGACCUGAGAGGGUGAUCGGCCACACUGGGACUGAGACACGGCCCAGACUCCUACGGGAGGCAGCAGUAGGGAAUCUUCGGCAAUGGGGGCAACCCUGACCGAGCAACGCCGCGUGAGUGAAGAAGGUUUUCGGAUCGUAAAGCUCUGUUGUAAGUCAAGAACGAGUGUGAGAGUGGAAAGUUCACACUGUGACGGUAGCUUACCAGAAAGGGACGGCUAACUACGUGCCAGCAGCCGCGGUAAUACGUAGGUCCCGAGCGUUGUCCGGAUUUAUUGGGCGUAAAGCGAGCGCAGGCGGUUUGAUAAGUCUGAAGUUAAAGGCUGUGGCUCAACCAUAGUUCGCUUUGGAAACUGUCAAACUUGAGUGCAGAAGGGGAGAGUGGAAUUCCAUGUGUAGCGGUGAAAUGCGUAGAUAUAUGGAGGAACACCGGUGGCGAAAGCGGCUCUCUGGUCUGUAACUGACGCUGAGGCUCGAAAGCGUGGGGAGCGAACAGGAUUAGAUACCCUGGUAGUCCACGCCGUAAACGAUGAGUGCUAGGUGUUGGAUCCUUUCCGGGAUUCAGUGCCGCAGCUAACGCAUUAAGCACUCCGCCUGGGGAGUACGACCGCAAGGUUGAAACUCAAAGGAAUUGACGGGGGCCCGCACAAGCGGUGGAGCAUGUGGUUUAAUUCGAAGCAACGCGAAGAACCUUACCAGGUCUUGACAUCCCGAUGCUAUUUCUAGAGAUAGAAAGUUACUUCGGUACAUCGGUGACAGGUGGUGCAUGGUUGUCGUCAGCUCGUGUCGUGAGAUGUUGGGUUAAGUCCCGCAACGAGCGCAACCCCUAUUGUUAGUUGCCAUCAUUCAGUUGGGCACUCUAGCGAGACUGCCGGUAAUAAACCGGAGGAAGGUGGGGAUGACGUCAAAUCAUCAUGCCCCUUAUGACCUGGGCUACACACGUGCUACAAUGGUUGGUACAACGAGUUGCGAGUCGGUGACGGCAAGCUAAUCUCUUAAAGCCAAUCUCAGUUCGGAUUGUAGGCUGCAACUCGCCUACAUGAAGUCGGAAUCGCUAGUAAUCGCGGAUCAGCACGCCGCGGUGAAUACGUUCCCGGGCCUUGUACACACCGCCCGUCACACCACGAGAGUUUGUAACACCCGAAGUCGGUGAGGUAACCUUUUGGAGCCAGCCGCCUAAGGUGG
rnacentral:rRNA from 1 species